CGCCUCUCCCGAAUAACCACGCCCACUCACCACGCCCCUCCAGUCAGCGUCGCGGAGUCCGUGGGGCCGGAGGCUGUCACGUGGCCGCGUUGCGUAGCAGCGCCGUAGCCAUGACAACGCCUGUACACAACGACGGGCAGCGGAGGCGUGAAGGGGGGCGGACGGUAGAGGAGGCGCACACGCUAUCGCAGCGAUCACGCCAGGCUGGGCACACACCGCCUUAGAAACCACCUCGUGCAGCUUGUGUUGAGGCAAUUAUCGUGCUGGAGCCUUUGAACCUGUACACCACAUCAAGAGCGAAAGGAAAAUAACGCGCCAAGGACCUCAAUAAACAUGGAUUAUCUUGUUUACUGUAACUGCUUUAAAACAGCAAAGGCAGCCUUGAGUUCUGCAGAAGUCAAGCGCUUCGCCCUGUUGCUAUAAUAAGCCCCUCUCAUGCGCUGCCGGCUUCCCACAUGAUAGUCGUGAGUCAAACGGGCCCCAGAGGAGGUGGAACCUUCACCAAACAGCUCCGUAACUCUUCAAAAAGGGUUUCAGUUCCUGAACAGGUUUUGUAACAACGGCCGCCCCGAAGCAAGAGAUUACGAGACAGUUUGGCUGCCUUCAGUCACAAGCCGCAGCAGCUUCCAAUGGAGCUCCCCAGCUUGCUCAGCAAGGUGCGUGAGGCUCCUCUGGCAGAGAGAGCAGAACCAGCUCAUGGUAUAUUAAACCAUAUUAAGGAAGACAUAUGCUAAGACGCGUCUGACAUCCCCUCGCAGAGUCCAAUGCCGUCCUUCAAACCGCUUCCUCCUCCUCGGCAGCGCCGUCCUGCGUGAUUUCCUGUGCCAGUUUGUGAGAGCAGCACAAACAAAUGAUUCCUCAUGUGUAGAAAGACAUUUUCUGUCUGUGGCAGCUUUUCUUUUAAAUCUACUUACAAAACCCCUCUUUAAAGCAGUUUUCUAACUGGUUUCCCUUUUUUCUUUCCUUUCUUUUUCCCUGGAAUUCAAAUUCUCUCUACAGUAAAAAUCCUUUUCCUGGC